GCAAGUCGAGCGGAAACGAUUGGAGCUUGCUCCCAGGCGUCGAGCGGCGGACGGGUGAGUAACGCGUAGGAAUCUACCCAGAAGAGGGGGAUAGCCCGGGGAAACCCGGAUUAAUACCGCAUACGCCCUAAGGGGGAAAGGCCGGGAUCUUCGGACCGGUCAGUAUUGGAUGAGCCUGCGUAAGAUUAGCUAGUUGGUAGGGUAAAGGCCUACCAAGGCGACGAUCCAUAGCUGGUCUGAGAGGAUGAUC
rnacentral:rRNA from 1 species